AUGCCAGGGAUGCACUCUCUCCCUGUCUCUGCCAGGCAUUCAGCUCUCUCCCUGUCUCUGCCAGUCAUUCAGCUCUCUGCCAGUCAUUCAGCUCGCUCCCUGUCUCUCCCUGUCUCUGCCAGGCAUUCAGCUCUCUCCCUGUCUCUCCCUGUCUCUGCCAGGCAUUCAGCUCUCUCCCUGUCUCUCCCUGUCUCUGCCAGGCAUUCAGCUCUCUCCCUGUCUCUCCCUGUCUCUGCCAGGCAUUCAGCUCUCUCCCUGUCUCUCCCUGUCUCUCCCUGUCUCUGCCAGGCAUUCAGCUCUCUCCCUGUCUCUGCUAGGCAUUCAGCUCUCUCCCUGUCUCUCCCUGUCUCUCCCUGUCUCUGCCAGGCAUUCAGCUCUCUCCCUGUCUCUCUCUGUCUCUCCCUGUCUCUGCCAGUCAUUCAGCUCUCUCCCUGUCUCUGCCAGGCAUUCAGCUCUCUCCCUGUCUCUGCCAGUCAUUCAGCUCUCUCCCUGUCUCUCCCUGUCUCUGCCAGGCAUUCAGCUCUCUCCCUGUCUCUCCCUGUCUCUGCCAGUCAUUCAGCUCUCUCCCUGUCUCUCCAUGUCUCUGCCAGGCAUUCAGCUCUCUCCCUGUCUCUGCCAGGCAUUCAGCUCUCUCCCUGUCUCUCCCUGUCUCUGCCAGGCAUUCAGCUCUCUCCCUGUCUCUGCCAGUCAUUCAGCUCUCUCCCUGUCUCUCCCUGUCUCUGCCAGGCAUUCAGCUCUCUCCCUGUCUCUCCCUGUCUCUGCCAGGCAUUCAGCUCUCUCCCUGUCUCUCCCUGUCUCUGCCAGGCAUUCAGCUCUCUCCCUGUCUCUCCCUGCCUCUGCCUGUCAUUCAGCUCUCUCCCUGUCUCUGCCUGUCAUUCAGCUCUCUCCCUGUCUCUCCCUGUCUCUGCCAGGCAUUCAGCUCUCUCCCUGUCUCUCAAAAUGACCUGCAUGAACAUGGGUCCAUUGUUUAAACCCAGUACAGGACAGAGAGCUUUGUUAAUUUACACUCUAAAUAUUAUCUUUUGA
rnacentral:lncRNA from 1 species